rnacentral:rRNA from 1 species
UACGUAGGGUCCGAGCGUUGUCCGGAAUUACUGGGCGUAAAGAGCUCGUAGGUGGUUUGUCGCGUUGUUCGUGAAAACUCACAGCUCAACUGUGGGCGUGCGGGCGAUACGGGCAGACUGGAGUACUGCAGGGGAGACUGGAAUUCCUGGUGUAGCGGUGGAAUGCGCAGAUAUCAGGAGGAACACCGGUGGCGAAGGCGGCUCUCUGGACCGACACUGACGCUGAGGCGCGAAAGCGUGGGGAGCAAACAGG